CACGUAAACGGAGGUGGGCCGACACGCCACCUGCGUCAACUCGCGGGAGCGCGUGGUGGCGUCGGGGGACGUGUGGUGGACAAGCUGCCUUGCGGAGACUCGAGACUGGGGUACCGCCUCCGCAGCCCGCUGCCCUCGUACCUUCUGUCCUAGUCGCGGGAGGGCCUGCUAGAGGAGUAGGUAUAAGAGAGGGUGGACGCGAGUGCGCUUCGACACGUCUGUACGCACGACCGUGCCGCGACCGCUAUGGAGACCGCCAGCCACUGGACGUAGCUGCACAGAAAGCUCCUUAAACUCCUGUCCCGACGACGUUUGCUGAACCUCGCACUCCUCUACAAGUUCUACAAACACUUGGUAAACGACUAAGAGGCACUUGCGCAUCUGGACUUCCUCAAGGUAGACCUCAUGUCGAACCACCAGCCCCAGUCGGCCGAGUCACGAUUCAGACUACUUCGGUUGGAUACCUAGGCGGUACGCAAUGUCAUGUUCCGAGUCUGACAGUUCUAACAGUUAGUUUCGCUUGAAGAUGUCGAAGAAGGGAGCCAUAAGUGAAGUUGCAUGAACUUUUCUGACGUGUAAUGGUUACGAGUUGACUAGGCUCCAAAGAAACUGGCGGAGGCCUUUCCGACGGGUCGUAACCUUAUAGAGAAGGAUAGCUGGACGCUGUAACUCCUGGAACUGUAAAAGAGGCUGUGUGAGUUCCAAAACUAGGAGAGACUACGAUAGCCCAAGAGUAAGAGUAAACUCGUGCUACGGGUUCAGAGAUAAAGACGAGGUUCGGAGUAAAGAGACAGGCAGCUUCUCACAGGAAGGCCCCGGUCCGAUGGAUAUGAUUUCUUGUACAGUAGUGAUCUCUGACGUAGUCAUAACGAAAGUCUUCCUCUAUAGUGUUGAACACUACGACUACCAUAGUCCGUCAAAGAGCCCCCGGAGAGACCACAAUCUUCAAACCUAAAGAUAAUACCCCUAUCUGUCGACCUCCACUUUUUAUUAGUGCCUACCACGGGUUGUAAGUUGUUAGAAUGUUUGGACUGGGAACUAUCCACCACGUACGUACGCCUGAAUAUACGGUACUAUCAGAAGGAAGUCUUGAGUGGAUUAGACUUCUUCGAUUGAGAAUUUGAUUUGCUCGGUGCUAUAGUGUUGCUCCAACAUAGACGUCAGUAGCCGCUCGACCUCCUAUCUAGCAAAUGUACACUUGUCGAACUCUAACAGCUUUAGUAUACGAGCUUCCCUUUACUCGACGACGAUGAACCCAACUUAGUCAAAAACCAUCUUCUCUCACCGUAUUCCGGACUAGUCUACGCACAGUCAGUGGUCUUGAUUCCGGCUACACUCAGUAGGCUAACAAAGUUCAGGGUGAUGUCCACUUUAAUGUACCUUAGUGAGUAACCGUAUAGUGUACCGUCCGUUUGUAACGAAGGGGAACCUAGAUAUAAGCGAGCGAGACCAAAUCAACCUUACUUGUAUCGUACACACAAACGACGGGAACAGAAAAGUGUGUCAUCUUAGGGUAUCACAACCAAAACUUGAUACAAGACGCCGGCCGCUUGGUUUUCUUUGUGUGGCGAUAGAAGGGUACGCUACGGUAUUAAGCACACCCCCUUCUAAUGUGACGUAAACUGUAUGUACGUGUACCGAGUUUUAGCGGUCACUGUGAAAAAAGUACCUACACACUACAAUAACUAGACUCAACGUACCGACUACUGACGUCUUUUGAACUACAACGGAAAAGACGACAAAGACUUUCUUUUACGAACACAACACGAGCACCACAACCGCCUCGAUCGUUUUCUGAGAAGAUUAGACAGGAACUUGCACAGAC
rnacentral:rRNA from 1 species